CUGAGGUGUCUUGCUAAAAUCUGACAAUGGCAGUCUUUUUUCAACCAUGGAGAAAACAAAAACGUACUGACUGCCUUCCAUGUACCAAGCACUUUGCCAGAUGAUGGUGAAUAAAUGUAAUCAAGUUCCAACUGCAUCUUAAGCAAAAACAGCAACGCAGCAAAGUGUGGUGAACUCUUUGUGAGCAAAAAGAAAUCCAAUCUGCCUGAAGCAAUGAGCAUAAACAGGAACGGUGGGAAAGGGAAAUUAGGACCAGUUCACAGUCUUAAUCAAUAAGCUGCAAUGUAAUGUGAAAAUUUUUAAAACACCUUAUUCUGCAGUUAAUAUCUAAGGCAAUUCCUGGCCGGGGGUGGUAGCUCAUGCCUGUAAUCUAGGCACUUUGGGAGGCCGAGGCAGGAGGAUCGCUUGAAGCCAGGAGUUCGAGACCAGCCUGGGCAACACAGCAAAAUCACCGUCUCUACAAAAUAACAAUAAUAAUGAACUAAGGCAAUUCCUUAUGGUCUUUAAUUUCAUUUUAGUCUUCCCUCUGCAGGAUCUGAGCACUCAAAUACGGGGAGGAAAAAAACAAAAGCCAGGCUGUUAUUAACACUCUCUCUUCCAAAGUGACACAGCUGACAACCAGACCCCUUUUUACCUGCCCCUGCAAUGGGGAUCCUAACUGUUCUCCCCUCUUCCUGACCCUUUUCCUUCUUCCAUCCAUGUUCCUGGAGCCAUAUCCCCUUUCUUGAAGCUAAUUUUCUUCCUCCUCCCCACUCUCCCCCUCCGCGUUCCCUAAAGAAAGCUGGACCUGGAUCCAGUCUAAGUCCCAAGAAAGCUUGGGGAAGCACCUUUGCUUACAGAGAAACUGAGGCCCAUGGAAGGAAGAAUUAGAGAAGCUGCCUUCAGCUCAGUAAACAGGCGACCUAAUUUCACAAAUGUAAAUGGGGGCACCACCCAAAAACCAAGGACUCAAAGGAGGCAAAGCGUUCUACCAAGUGGGGCUUACUCAAACUCCUUCAACUGGUCUUAUCGUCAUGAUAACUGUUUUUCCAAUGCCUGGCUCCAUCUCAUUCCUUCAGAACUCAGCUUAAAUGUCACCUUUGAGAGAGCCCUUCCUGGCCACAAUCCAGUGGCCCUGCUCCCAUAUACGGUCUCAGCACCCACUUUCUAUUUCGCUCGCGGCGUCUGCCAUGAUUAGGACCCUUUGGGAUCCCCGCGAGCGUCUCGGGGCGAGGGGCUUGUCCGCCUCACUCGCAGCUGGACG
rnacentral:lncRNA from 1 species